rnacentral:rRNA from 1 species
CCCUUAGAUGUUCCGGGCUGCACGCGCGCUACACUGACACUAUCAACGAGUGCUCCUGGUUUGAAAGGAUCGGGUAAUCUUUUGAAAUGGUGUCGUGAUGGGGAUAGAUCAUUGCAAUUAUUGAUCUUGAACGAGGAAUUCCUAGUAAAUGUGAGUCAUCAGCUCACGUUGAUUACGUCCCUGCCCUUUGUACACACCGCCCGUCGCUCCUACCGAUUGAGUGAACCGAUGAGUAGUCCGGAUUGCGAUCGACCUCGGUUAAUCGCGAGAAGUUCCGCAAAUCACUUCACUUAGAGGAAGGAGAAGUCGUAACA